CUCUCUGAUUCUCCUAACUGCUGCAUUCUGCAUUCUCUCUCUCUCUCUCUCUCUCUACCUUCUUCUCUUCGGAUUGAUCCAACAUCAAAAGCACAAGUCUCUGCCGUCGUCUCUUUUGCAAGAUUUGGCUUGUUGGGUUUAUCUCCAAACAGGGCUUAGCCUUCAUUUGAGCUUUUGUCCUCAUGGGAAGUGCUGUUGAUGCUGCAACCAUGGAGGCAACUCAAAGGUUGAUCAAGAAGAAACCAACUGUUGUUUUUGUCUUGGGUGGACCAGGCAGUGGAAAGGGUACACAAUGUGCAAAUAUAGUUAAACAUUUCGGAUUUACUCAUCUCAGUGCUGGUGAUCUUCUUCGAGCAGAAAUUAAGUCUGGUUCAGAAAAUGGAACUAUGAUCGAGAAUAUGAUUAAAGAGGGAAAAAUUGUACCUUCAGAGGUAACCAUCAAGCUUCUCCAAAACGCAAUGCUGGAAAGUGGCAAUGACAAGUUUCUUAUUGAUGGUUUCCCUCGCAAUGAGGAGAAUCGUGCUGCAUUUGAGGCUGUUACAAAAAUUGAACCGGCAUUUGUGUUGUUCUUUGAGUGCUCUGAAGAGGAGAUGGAGAGGCGACUGCUCAGUAGAAACCAGGGAAGAGAAGAUGAUAACAUUGAAACAAUAAGGAAGCGUUUUAAGGUUUUUGUGGAGUCUAGCAUGCCUGUGGUAGAGUACUACGAAUCCAAAGGAAAAGUUCGCAAGAUUGAUGCUGCAAAGCCGAUUGAGGAGGUCUUUGAGGCAGUUAAAACUGUUUUCACUGCCCAAGAUGAUAAGGUGAAGUGGCAAUCAACUCUCUCAUAAUAAUUGUUAGUACUGGAAUGGGGAAUGGAGCCUCUCCAGGGUCAAAAGAAGUUCUAAGGUUGCUGCAUAGGUGUGGCAGUCGUUCCCUUCCCAAGACGUCAAGGUUGUGGUAUGUUAAAUUCGAGUUGUUGAAAUUACACGAGGAAUUCUGCGCUCUGGUUAAUUGCCUCCUGCUAAUAUUGAGCUAUUAAUUAAUUAUAUUAUAGAAGAUUUAUUAUUUGGUGGGAUGUCAUGCCUCUAGCCCCAUUUUUUACUGUAAUUUGUGACUUCAGUCAUGUGAGAAUGUAACGAUGCACGAUUAUAUAAGAAUAAUAAUGAUUUCCUUCGUUAUCUCA